CGGGCCUAACGUUGUCUUCAGACAUUUAGAUUUGAAGGUCGGGUGACGCAGUCCUGCUGCUCCCGAUAGGCUGCUGUCACGUAACUGCUUCCCUCAUUUACAUGGCUGCCUGGCCCCUGGGGGCUGGGAGUGUGAGAGCCUGGGUGUUACUGGGUGCACGUCAUCAUCACUGGACACUCAGGACCCCUGGAUGCAGCUAGACCAAGCCUGGGGGAGAUGUGCCGUCUCAAGCUAGGGGUUCUGGAAGCCUUAGUCAUCCUGGGCACAGGGUGGAGCCUGAGUUGGUCCCACAAUUCUGGAAAGACCCACCCUGGGUGCGCCUCUCCCCAGCACUACCCUUCACAGUGGUGUUGGGGGAAGAGGGGCUGGCGAGUCCAGACCUGGAAAUGAGGAGGACCCCUUCUUGAUGGCAAAGCCAGGGACAGCUCCGCUUAGCAGAGAAAACGCUGUGCCUGUGAGGAGGUGGGGGGGCAGCACAGACAGGCAAACCUGGAGGGCUGAUCACACAGCUCCUUCCCCUGGGGGCCUUUCCAGACCCCUCUCUGCCUUGCGGCCACCUCUCGCCCACGCAGGCACCAGCUCUUGGGGAACAUUCUAAUGAGGAUCAGCUAUGUUAGAAGCCUCCCCUUGGAUUGACUCUAUUUGGCAACUGACACAAAGGCCGGGCUUCUGGCGGAGGAAUUUCAGGCCUCAUCCAGCAGGGAGAGAGGUAUCGUGUGUGGGUGGGUGUUUUUCUGUUGCUCCAGAAUCCUCACCCUGUGGGCAGAUCCUGUUGUGACUCGUAGGACGACAUCACUCCCCCACAGCGUCACCCGGCAGGCCUCCCUGCAGAGCCGCCCGGAGAGAACGGGUCCCGCGGGGAGACGGCUGCAGCAGCAGUGGGGGCAGCCGGCCACAGGCCCCGGGGGGCUGCAUUCACAUCCCUCGGCCACUGUAGCAAGUUAGCCAAACUGAGCGGCUGAAGCCAACUCCGGUGCAUCACGUCAGUCUGCAGGGGCCUUUGGGCAGAGACUCCAUCCUGGCUUCUGCCACCCUCUUGCUGCGUCGCUCCCGUGUACUGCAUCCACCUGCACAGAGGAAGCUGAACUGAGUGUCGGCUGACCCUUGGGAGAAGCCUGUGACUUCGGGGGAGGUCGGGCAGGAGGGACCGGCUGCUCCGUGGGCCCUUCCAUGCCACAGUCUGGGGCUUUCUCAGCCUGCCCCGCUUCGGCCAGUUCUGAGGUUAGUAAGGAGCUCUCUGCGGCCCCCUGUGGCCAGCAGUUCCUGCCACCAAUGUGGGUUCAAGUCAUGGCUAAGGAAUGGGGAGCGGCCGCUUUCCUCCUCAGCACUGGCCUCCAGAUCUCAGAGGGGCAGCUGGACAUCCCAUAUUAGGCUUCAUGGUCACCAUGGAGAUCACUUGUUUACUCCCACCUCCACAUGAGAUAAUCUGGAGGAUUGCCAUUUUCUGCACUUUAAGCAUAAUGGAAUUCAGGAAAAUUCCAAAGCCAAGCCAGCCUCCAUUUCUAAAGGCAGAGACCCAGGCAGCCUGCACAGACCUCAGGAUAUGGGCAAACUUCUCCGUCUGGCUUCUAAUCUCCUGCUUCCCCUAAGAGAGCACAAGUCUCACCUCUGCUCCAGAUUUCCUGCCUCUCUGCCUUUGCUCUAGCCAUUACAGCAUCAGGAGUGCCCCCCCCCCCCACUGUUCAACUGAGUCAGCUUCCUGCCCCACCCCAAGGCCAAGUUCAAGUGUUACCUCCUCCUCCACAAGGGCCUCCUGGAUUCCACCCUGCCUCCCACCUCCUGACCUGCGUGAGGGCUCUUCCCCUUCGUCUCUCUCCUGUCUAGUGUGGCAUUGAUGCCUUCUAUGUGACUGUAGUCAUUUGUGUGUUUUCUUCUCCCGUCCAGACGGGGAAUCCUGGGGGCACAUGGGCUGUUCUUACCCCACCCUCAGAUACCAAGCAGUGGAGUGAUGACCCUAGAAGCGAGGCAGUGAGUGCCCAGAGAGACAGCUGAACUGGGAGCUAGGCAACUGGACCACCUUAGGCAAGUGGUUUAACUUUUCUGAGCCUCAGUUUCCCCAGUUACUGAGCAGGCUGGGUGCCUGGAGGAUUUCAAGGGGCUGUUUCAGGUCUGCCCACCUCUUCAAUGAGUUUUGAAAGCUCAUCACUUUCCCCAAGCGUUUGCAGAGGAAGUGAGUGGAGAAGGGAUGGGGCAGGAGAGGCAAGCCCUCCCUACCCUUCUUAGGAUUCCAGGAUGGCUGCUCCGCGAGCUGAAGGCACGGAAACGCAGGCCCACGCUGCCCCCAUGUGGCCGGCACAGGCACUGCAUCAGGAAGCCUGUCUCAGCCAGUCUUUCGCAGGUGCCCAUCACUAACCUGGACGGCGCACUUGACCCCUCAUUGUCUUCCUGCUCACCUCUCACUUGGGCCAGUUUGCUGGGGGUGGGGUGGGGGACCAAGGGUAAACCCAGUAAAAGGAUGUCCAAGGGUGGAAGAACUUAAUUCUCAGCUCAGCUAGUCAGGAGCGUGGUUCUGAAGCUGCAUUAUAUGCAGACAAGGGUGAUUGUAGGGCCCCCAGAGGGUCUCCAGGCUCUUCCCACCCCCACUCCCAUCUCAGCUGAGCAGCCCGCAGACCAGGUAGGAUCAUGCCCAUAGUGCCCACAGGGAAAAGGAAGCUGGGAGAGGGCCAGCCUGACUCCCUGUCCAGUGCUCCCUCCGCUCCAUCUGGUGCCGCCAGAACGCAGCUCCGGAUGGGCUGCGUUGAGACCCGUCCACCCCUUUGGUACUGGUAGUGGUCAGACCCUACCGGUGGCCACUCCCCACCUUGGUCCUCACAUGGAUGCCUCCCCUUCUCAACUCUCGCCCCCAAUCCCACACUUCCUAGUACCCUGUCCUGAGCUGAUCCGAACUUUGGCCUUGGGCACCCUCUUAGGACUGUGCACAGCUCAAGAGGGCUGAGGGAGCCAUCACCCAUCUCAGAGGUGGCGGUGUUGGUGAUGGAGAAGACCUCUGCUUGCAGCAUUGGCUUGAGGACCUAUAGAGCUUCAUCCUCGUCCAUCAGUGUCCUGCCUCCUUCACUCCACCCAGCAUGCCCUCCUCCCUGGUCUCUCCUAUCUCUUUCCUGCAAAAUGGCCCUCCUGGCUCCAGCUCCACCUCCAUAAGUGGUGUUCUGUGGCCUCUUAGCCCUACCCAGGCAGGGUCUGCUACUCCAUCCUCGGGCCAAUCCCUUCCUAGAUGUGGAGGAGGAGCUCAGUGGUCCAGGGAGCUGCUGGGCUCCUGCCCCGACCCUUUCCCAGGGCCCGCUGUGCUAACUGUCACCUGAACUGCCUCAGUGUAGUCGCGCUGAGGUCUGGGACCUCCACGUGGCAGCAAGAACUCCAGCUUGACCUAGUCUAAGGCGCAGACCUGACCUCCCCUCUCUGCCAGCCCCUCAUUCGCCUUCGAGCUCCUUCUGUUCUCUCCUCCCUCCGCGCUUCUCCUCCCUCCCUGCUUGCUCUCCGUCUAGCAGUGAGGAGCUUGCUGGACUGGACAUGGCUGGGCUGGGGUUGGGGUUCUAACAGGCAAGUCUGGAGAUGCUACAGUGCAGCUUUGGGAAUGUUCACAGUCUCGAUGACAAGCCAAGCUUUAGCAUAACCCAGACAUCCCUGUGCCCACCUUGCUGGGACGUUCAAAGAAACACUGCCUAACGAUUAAAGAAAAUGAUGCCACUUUACUAGCCCCUGAUGGGAGACAGGUUUAAAGGAUCUAGUUGGUAAUCCUCCGCGCCCGCGCGCGCGCGUUUCUCUCUCUCGUUCCUUAGGUCCCUGCUCCUCCAUCCCAGCUGCUCCCUGGGGUCUUCCCCUUCCCCAGCUGGGGACUGCCCCUUCUGGUACACAUCAUCUUCUCAACCCACCCCCCUCAGCUGAGAGGUGACCGUUGUCCAGGCUGCUCAUGUUUCAGUGGCCAGAACUUGUCACGUGCCCCCUCCAGCCGUGGGCUAGGCAGUCUGCCCCAUGCUGGAUGGAGAACCGAUGUCCGGAAACACUUGCUGCCUCCGCACCCCGGCUAGGUUCCAGCCUGGCCCUUCUUCCCUCCGUCUCCCAUCUCUCAGUCUCAUUUGGAUUCGUCACCUCUUUACACCUGCAUUGCAUUCUGUGGGAUCCCCUUACAUUUAUGUCUCCAUUCACCAAAUCUCCCUACUUCUCUACACCAUCAGUUCUGCUCUCCAAAGUCUUUAGCUUUUAAAUGACUUUUUGGGGGGUCAUUUUUAGUCAUAGCACUUCAUCGUAGUUCAUUUUCAAGUCUAUCUGUUAUUUUUUCCUAGAGCCUUGUUCUUUUAAAAUGAUUUUUAUUCCUUCUUUAUGUCUUUGAUCAUUUUAAACAUUUGAAAUACGAUCUAUAAUUUCAUUUGAACUGGUCGGUUAUUUAAAUAUGAUUUGUAAAUGAUUUAAAUUUAUAUGUGAUUCAAAUAUGUUUUAUCGUCUCAUAAAUUAUAAAACAUAAAUCAUAAAUUUAAAUAUGAUUUAUAAAUUCAUUUGAACUGAUCUGUUAUGAUAAGUGCUUGAAGGAUCUAAUCAUUUUGUGUUUUUUAAUUGGCUGACUUUCCCUUGUGAAUUGUUCCCCAGUGUAGUUCGGGAUUUUUAAAAAUUAUUCUUUUUUUUUUUUUGAGUUUUUUUGGAUGGUGUUAUCAUUUUUUUUUUCCCCUGGGAGGGGAGGUAUUUCCAGGGAAGGAUUUAUCUUUGCUUUGGUCUGGAUCCAAAGGGUCACUUCUCUGUAAACAAAUCUCUGGUAACUUUUUGGUUUGGGAGCUCCUUGCUUUGUGGGAAGUAUAAAUUAAAACUGUCCGUUUGAUUGGGUGCGGUGGGCUUGGAGCUCUGGUUUCUUCGUGGGAGUCCUUAUCCACCUUCAUCUUUUCUGAGCAGAGUCAAGCUUUGUUCCUGAAAUUUCUCUUGGAUUUUCCUAGUCCCUCUUAUAAGGAGAGACUGGUCUUCCAGGAACCUGAAUUCAUUCAGAGUUUCCAGCUUCCCUCUGCCUCUUCUAUGUCAGGGCCAUGUCUCCUGUCUUCUGUGAGCACGAAAACCCAGCCACCCAGCCCUCAGGGCGCAUCCUUGCAUUUGACUGCUCCCUGCUCUUCUGUGGUGUCGGCUCAAGAAAGAUCCUCUGGCUUAUAGUUCCUGCUUAUUUCUGGCUCAAGAAUUUCCCUCUUUCCUUCUUUCAAGCGUGCCUAUGAGUUACAAAGAAAUGACAUAUUUUAGGAGGCAGAGAUGGGAAUUUCCUCAUUAAAUUUUUGUUAUUAAUCCCUAGGUUAAUUUUGUGGCAGUCAGAAGACUUACCUCUGAAUGAUGCAAAUCUCUUAAAAGUUGUUGAGGCUGGCUGGAUGACCCAGCAUGUGGUUCAUUUUAUUAAGUGUUUGUGCAUUGAAAAAGAACGCCUUUCCCGGCCCCGUUGGAUGCAGUGCUCAUUAGUUCAAGCUAAUUGUGCUGUCACGUUAGAUCCUCUCUGCUUUUCUGUUUCUGUCCGGGGGAGCGUGCUCACGCGUCCUAGCGUUCUCAUAGAUUUGUCUCUUUCUCCUGUUUGUUUAGUGCUUACCUGGCAAAGUUUUCUCCCCCAAUUUAUACUUUCAUCACUUUUUGCUCAUAUUUGAGGUGGAUCUCUUGUAUCCAACAUAUCAUCAAGGUUAAAAUAAUCUGAUCUGACACGUUUAGUCUUAUUUGAAGUAUUCAGUCCAUUUAUAUUUAACAUAAUUAUUAAUAUAAUUGGAUUCAUAGCUUACAUUUUUACUAUUUGCUUUGUAUUUGUUAUACAUGUUCUAUGUUGUCUGCGUCCCACCCCCCAGUCAUUUUGUCACUGAAUUUGGGGCAUUGUUCCUCCUUUUCUCUGAUGCAGGAAUAGACUGUGGGGGCCAGUCACCUGCAUCCAGUCAGGGACUCCAUGGAGGCUAGUGGAACACUGAUCCUCAGGGCUGGGGGUCAGGAUUGGGACAUCCUGCCUGCCCUCAGCUCACACCCACUCUUACAGUGUGGUUUUAAGGGUUUCCCUUUGAGAGGCUGAUGUGUUCAUCAGGACCCUUGCCCCGUGAUAGAUCCUGAACUUUAAUCUUGUGUCCUCAGCACAGUGAGAUGAUUAAAAACAUCACUUAAUGUCUCAGGCUCCAUGCGUUCCCUUUCAGUUUGCAUCUUGGGCUGCUUCAGAAAUCUUCAAAUAUCUUGAGGGGGGAAAUUGGCUGAGAGCUGGGCUUAGCUCUCUGCGCCGUCUUGUGGGGUUCUGGCUCCCCCACCUCCAGGAAUCUCAUUCUUUUCUUUCCAGACCUAUGAGCUUAUCAGCAUCUUUUUCAGUUUCCUUGGUCCCCCUGGUAGCUCCAACCUGGGCCCCUUGCCUCUUGCUCUCACUCCAGGAUUCCCAAGUGCCCUGAGCAGAAAAGCACCUUCCUCUGGUCUUUCCUUCUCUGGAGCCUUGGCCCCUUAGGCCUGGUGGCCUGAGUAUCUCUCCAGGACCUUCAGACAAAAGCUUUCUGGUGUGUCAUCAGCUUUCUAAACAUCCUCAGGAAGACGGUCGGCCCUCUGCGAGCUCUCCAGGAAACAGAAGUCUCCUUCCAUUACGUUUCUGCCAUUUUAUAUUCUGGGGCCCCAGCCUAGCCCAUCCUAACUCACACAAACUUUAGCAGCACUUCUGUAUGUUUUAGGAGCACAUGAUCCACCAUCAUUAGGCUUCCAGGUGGUUGAGACAACUGGCCCAGUGUUGACUACAAUUGGAAAACAUAAAGGAAGCGACUCUAAAACUGUCACUGAUCACAAGGUACAGAAGUAGUCAGAUACUGAGUGAAGAGGAGUGUUUCAAAAUGAUGUGUCUUAUUAGAAAAAUUUUUAAGUUAAUGCAAAAAUAAAGAAAAAAUGUCAAGAUCCUA